rnacentral:rRNA from 1 species
UCUUNCGCGCCGUAGUUAACGCAUUAAGUGCCCCGCCUGGGGAGUACGGCCGCAAGGCUAAAACUCAAAGGAAUUGACGGGGGCCCGCACAAGCGGCGGAGCAUGCGGAUUAAUUCGAUGCAACGCGAAGAACCUUACCAAGGCUUGACAUGUGCCGGUCUGCUCCGGAGACGGGGUUUCCUCCUUUGUGGGGGCUGGUUCACAGGUGGUGCAUGGUUGUCGUCAGCUCGUGUCGUGAGAUGUUGGGUUAAGUCCCGCAACGAGCGCAACCCUUGUCUCGUGUUGCCAGCACGUUGUGGUGGGGACUCGCGGGAGACUGCCGGGGUCAACUCGGAGGAAGGUGGGGAUGACGUCAAAUCAUCAUGCCCCUUAUGUCUUGGGCUUCACGCAUGCUACAAUGGCCGGUACAGAGGGCUGCGAUACCGUGAGGUGGAGCGAAUCCCUUAAAGCCGGUCUCAGUUCGGAUCGGUGUCUGCAGCUCGACACCGUGAAGUUGGAGUCGCUAGUAAUCGCAGAUCAGCAACGCUGCGGUGAAUACGUUCUCGGGCCUUGUACACACCGCCCGUCACGUCAUGAAAGUCGGCAACACCCGAAGCCCGUGGCCC